UCUGUAGAGUUUCUAAAGGAAGACUUAGGCCUCUUGUAUAAUGUGCUGCUAAAAUGUUGGGUUAGUCUAAAGGUCUCUGUUUCUCUAUAUAAGCUGUGAUUGUGUUUUUUGUUCUCUUCUAAGCUGUUUUCCUCCAUUGGUGGCUAUUAUAAAACAUCUCAUCCAGAGCUAAGGUGGGAGGGGAAGUUGCCUACUGAAAUAUGGUAUGAGGAUCUUAAGUAUUUUUUAAUGUACGUUAUGGGAAUUGUUUUUAAAAUGCUAAUCUAUGGUGUGGAGCUAUGAAAGAGCAUGCCAUCCUAGUCAGUGUGACACAUUGAAGGGUGAGAAGGACAGAGGUGGAAUUUGAACUAGUAGAGGAUGAAGACCAUGAUGUCUAGUGGGUAGAGUAAGCUCAGAGAUCUAAAAUGCCUCUCAGCAGAAGUGAGAGGAAUAAGGGCACUGAUACCUCAGUGAGAGAGGGGACAUAUUGUUAUUUUUGAACCAGAAGCCAUUGGAAAGCAGUUGGAACAGAGAAAAGACCUCCAAGCCCUGGCAGGCCAGGCACAGGCAGCAUUAAACACUGGUGUUUUGGGGUCUGAACUGUCACUUAGGGGGCAGUAAUGUGAGUUAGGGCCUUAUACUUGACCUAAGUGGACCAAACACUGGGAAACACAGGUGAUUAUGCUCCCUGAGUGUAUG